AAACAUAACCUUUAGCCAAACAAGUAUUAAAGGCAACGCCUGCCCAGUGAAAAUUAAACGGCCGCGGUAUCCUAACCGUGCAAAGGUAGCAUAAUCAUUUGUCUAUUAAUUGUAGACCUGUAUGAAAGGCAAAAUGAGAGCCCAACUGUCUCUUAUAACAAAUCAAUUAAACUGAUCUCCUAGUACAAAAGCUAGAAUACUAACAUAAGACCAGAAGACCCUGUGAAGCUUUAACUAACCUAUUAAACCCAAUAAUAACUACUUUCGGUUGGGGCGACCUUGGAAUAAAAAAGAACUUCCAACAUAUGACUCCCUCAUAAAACAAGGCCAACAAGCCAACACUAGACCCAGUAUAACUGAUAAUUGAAAUAAGUUACUCCAGGGAUAACAGCGCUAUCUUCUUUAAGAGCCCAUAUCAAAAAGAAGGUUUACGACCUCGAUGUUGGAUCAGGACACCCCAGUAAUGCAGCCGUUACUAAAGGUUCGUUUGUUCAACGAUUAACAGUCCCACGUGAU
rnacentral:rRNA from 1 species